UCAGAUUUAUUUUUUCAAAAAUAAGUUAAUUUGAAAAAAAAAACGAUUUUUUUAAUUGGGCCUCUAUCGAUGUCUCCGACGCCUCGUGAGCCCAAGCCCGAUUAUUUUUUGAGACAUUUGACAGUAAACCCUAAUUUUCCUUGGCAGCGGCCGCAGAAGCUGCCUUUCCAUAAACCACGUCUAUUCUCAGCCGCCCGAUUGACAUCUAACCGCACAGAUCCAAUGCAAUAUCAGCUAUAAAUAACCCUCAAAACCCCCGAAGGAUGUCAGUCUUGGGGGAUUAGGGUUCAUCUAUCAUGCUUGCCGUCUUCUAGGUCCUAGUCUCUCUCUUCUUUUUGCCAUAUCCUGAUUAUCAUGAAUCGCUGUUUGCCGUCUUAGACAGUAUCAAGAGCACAGUAAAUUGAUCCCAGAAUGAUGUGGAUGGGGGGCAUGAUUCGGACGAAGUACCGCAAAUUGUCCCAGAAUGAUGUGGAAAUCUGUAGAUAUGCUUGUAAUUAGAAUGCAUAAUGAUGUAAUUUUUUUUAUCAUCUGGUUUCUUUAUAAGUCUCUGCUUUCUCAGCUGGGUAACUUGAAUUACCAUCGGAGGGAUUGGCAUUGCAAAUGUUAAAUGCAAGCAUGUGUUGUUCAUCAAUGGCAAUAUCGGGGAAUUUAAGAUUGGAUACUAACGGUUGGCUGCAACGUGGUGUUCAUCGAUGAUGGAGAAAUCUAAUGAUAUUAGGUUAGAAUAAGCUUUUUCACCUAGGGAAAUAUGUACCCGAGGAUCGCCAGUUAUUUCUUCCUUGUAAAAAGUUUGAUUAAUAAUAAAUUAUGGGUCUCUCCUGGA